rnacentral:lncRNA from 1 species
UCAGAGCACAUGGCCUACUUCAUCCCAGUUUUUCUGUAGCUGAUACUGCUAUCGUCAGGGGAAGAUGACAGGCACCUCACUGUUGCAUCUCUUUUAUACACUCCCAGCACAAUGGAAUGGAGAAGUCCUUGGCUGGAAAGCUGCUCCUGGGAUCAGUCAGUAUUCUACUGACUCAACUACCAUAAUCCAUUGAAACUGAGAAAUGAGUGAUACUGGUAGUUUCAUAGAAACUAUGGUU